rnacentral:rRNA from 1 species
CAGCCGCCGCGGUAAAACGUAGGGGGCAAGCGUUAUCCGGAAUUACUGAGUGUAAAGGGAGCGUAGACGGUUAAACAAGUCCGAAGUGAAGUGCCGGGGCUCAACCCCGGAGCUGCUUUGGGAACUGUAGAACUGGAGUGUCGGAGGGGUAAGCGGAAUUCCCAGUGUAGCGGUGAAAUGCGUAGAUAUAUGGAGGAACACCGGUGGCGAAAGCGGCUCUCUGGUCUGUAACUGACGCUGAGGCUCGAAAGCGUGGGGAGCGAACAGGAUUAGAGACCCGCGUAGUCCCUGUCUCUUAUAC